GCUGUAUUUGCAAAACAAACUGAUGAGCAAGCCAAUAGUCAAUAUAAUCUGAGUGACAAUAAUGUCAAAAAUGUGUCAUAACUUUCUAACCAUAUCAGAUCCUGGCAUAUUGGGAAUUGGCAAAGACCAAUUCUGAGCCCGCUGGGUCAGUCACUGGGAUCCAAGGUUGUCUGCCACCCUGGAGGCAACGUCAUGAGCAGGCAGCAUGAUUGCUGUGGCCAUUUCAACUGGCUUCCAUGCCUCCUUGCUUGGGCAGAGACUUUCACUGCUAGGCAACUUACAGGAACCAGACAAACUCUGGCUAGAUAUUUUGGGCAAACAGAAGCAACUGUACAGGUUAGUAUUAUAAUUAUUCCCUUUAUAUGGCUGGAUAAAACCUGGGACCAGAACUUUGUUCAAUAGAAAUAAGUUAUUCUUUCCAGGAUUUUCUAAAUUUGUGUCUCAGUCGAUUUCAUUAAAACGAGCAAAGUCACUCAACAGGACAGAUACGGAAGUGUAGUCUGACAUGAAUGGAAAACUACUCUCGGUGCUGUCUGAUGGAUGUUGAUAAGACCAAUGAGGCAAUCCAAGUUCUCUUUCAGCUGUUGCUUCCAACACCUGGAGGGCACUUGCUGUCAUCACCGAUGAUCACUUCUAUUCCAAGUCCUUUCUGUGCAAAAGGGUGGGCUGCCAGGCCAACAUUGCACUCUCACCAACUAGCCAUACUGGACAGGAGACUGUGGCUACAAAGAUUCUGGAGGAAGACCACCUCGGCCCCAGUGAAAAAAAAAGAUGGGGCUGACUUCUGCAAAUUUUGGAUACCGUGAUGACCUCAGAAAACCUAGAGGACCUUCCACAACCUUGUGGCAGCUUCAGACUAAGAGUUCUGGAGGCUGAGAAGUCCAAGAUCAAGCUGCUGGCAGAUUCAGUGUCUGAUGAGGGCUCACAUCCUGGUUCAUAGACAUCUUUUCCUGCAUCCUCACACGGCAGAAGAAACAAGGGAAGUCUCCGGGAUGUCUUUUAUAAGGGCAUUAAUUUCAUCCAUGUGGGCUCCACCCUCAUGACCUAAAUACUUCCCAAAGGCCCCAUCACAUUGGGGGUUAAGAUCUUUAAGAUAUGAAUUUGGGGGGGACAUAUUCAG
rnacentral:lncRNA from 1 species